rnacentral:rRNA from 1 species
GGAAUUUUGCACAAUGGGCGAAAGCCUGAUGCAGCAACGCCGCGUGUGUGAUGAAGGUCUUCGGAUCGUAAAGCACUUUCGACCGGGACGAACACCCCUUGGCUAACAUCCAAGGGCCUGACGGUACCGGGAGAAGAAGCACCGGCUAACUCUGUGCCGACAGCCGCGGUAAUACAGAGGGUGCAAGCGUUGUUCGGAAUUAUUGGGCGUAAAGCGCGUGUAGGCGGCUUGGCAAGUCGGGUGUGAAAGCCCUCAGCUCAACUGAGGAAGUGCGCCCGAAACUGCUGAGCUUGAGUCCCGGAGAGGGUGGCGGAAUUCCCCAAGUAGAGGUGAAAUUCGUAGAUAUGGGGAGGAACACCGGUGGCGAAGGCGGCCUCCUGGCCGGAUACUGACGCUGAGACGCGAAAGCGUGGGUAGCAAAC